rnacentral:rRNA from 1 species
UGAUCCUGCCGGAGGCCAUUGCUAUUGGGAUCCGAUUUAGCCAUGCUAGUCGCACGAGUUCAGACUCGUGGCGAAUAGCUCAGUAACACGUGGCCAAACUACCCUUCGGAGCUCCAUACCCUCGGGAAACUGAGGCUAAUAGAGCAUACCAUACCACCACUGGAAUGAGUGGUAUGCCAAACGCUCCGGCGCCGAAGGAUAUGGCUGCGGCCGAUUAGGUAGACGGUGGGGUAACGGCCCACCGUGCCAAUAAUCGGUAUGGGUCAUGAGAGUGAGAACCCAGAGACGGAAUCUGAGACAAGAUUCCGGGCCCUACGGGGCGCAGCAGGCGCGAAACCUUUACACUGCACGACAGUGCGAUAGGGGGAUCCCAAGUGCACAGGCAUAGCGCCUGUGCUUUUCGGUACCCUAAGGCGGUACCAGAAUAAGGGCUGGGCAAGACCGGUGCCAGCCGCCGCGGUAAUACCGGCAGCCCAAGUGAUGGCCGAUCUUAUUGGGCCUAAAGCGUCCGUAGCUGGCCGCGCAAGUCCAUCGGGAAAUCCACCUGCUCAACAGGUGGGCGCCCGGUAGAAACUGCGUGGCUUGGGACCGGAAGGCGCGACGGGUACGUCCGGGGUAGGAGUGAAAUCCCGUAAUCCUGGACGGACCGCCGAUGGCGAAAGCACGUCGCGAGAACGGAUCCGACAGUGAGGGACGAAAGCCAGGGUCUCGAACCGGAUUAGAUACCCGGGUAGUCCUGGCCGUAAACAAUGUCUGCUAGGUGUGGCUCCCACUACGAGUGGGUGCUGUGCCGUAGGGAAGCCGCUAAGCAGACCGCCUGGGAAGUACGUCCGCAAGGAUGAAACUUAAAGGAAUUGGCGGGGGAGCACUACAACCGGAGGAGCCUGCGGUUUAAUUGGACUCAACGCCGGACAUCUCACCAGCAUCGACUGUGGUAAUGACGAUCAGGUUGAUGACCUUAUCCGAGCCUCAGAGAGGAGGUGCAUGGCCGCCGUCAGCUCGUACCGUGAGGCGUCCUGUUAAGUCAGGCAACGAGCGAGACCCGCACCCUUACUUGCCAGCAGUACCGCGAGGUAGCUGGGGACAGUAGGGGGACCGCCGUGGCUAACACGGAGGAAGGAACGGGCAACGGUAGGUCAGUAUGCCCCGAAUGUGCUGGGCAACACGCGGGCUACAAUGGUCGAGACAAAGGGUUCCUACUCCGAAAGGAGACGGUAAUCUCAGAAACUCGAUCGUAGUUCGGAUUGUGGGCUGCAACUCGCCCACAUGAAGCUGGAUUCGGUAGUAAUCGCGUGUCACAAGCGCGCGGUGAAUACGUCCCUGCUCCUUGCACACACCGCCCGUCAAAGCACCCGAGUGAGGUCCGGAUGAGGCGUUCCACGAACGUCGAAUCUGGGCUUCGCAAGGGGGCUUAAGUCGUAACAAGGUAGCCGUAGGGGAAUCUGCGGCUGGAU